AGGCGAUGAAGGACGUGCUAAUCUGCGAUAAGCGUCGGUGAGGUGAUAUGAACCGUUAUAACCGGCGAUUUCCGAAUGGGGAAACCCAGUGUGUUUCGACACACUAUCAUUAACUGAAUCCAUAGGUUAAUGAGGCGAACCGGGGGAACUGAAACAUCUAAGUACCCCGAGGAAAAGAAAUCAACCGAGAUUCCCCCAGUAGCGGCGAGCGAACGGGGAGGAGCCCAGAGCCUGAAUCAGUGUGUGUGUUAGUGGAAGCGUCUGGAAAGGCGCGCGAUACAGGGUGACAGCCCCGUACACAAAAAUGCACAUAUUGUGAGCUCGAUGAGUAGGGCGGGACACGUGGUAUCCUGUCUGAAUAUGGGGGGACCAUCCUCCAAGGCUAAAUACUCCUGACUGACCGAUAGUGAACCAGUACCGUGAGGGAAAGGCGAAAAGAACCCCGGCGAGGGGAGUGAAAAAGAACCUGAAACCGUGUACGUACAAGCAGUGGGAGCCUCUUAAUGGGGUGACUGCGUACCUUUUGUAUAAUGGGUCAGCGACUUAUAUUCUGUAGCAAGGUUAACCGAAUAGGGGAGCCGAAGGGAAACCGAGUCUUAACUGGGCGUUAAGUUGCAGGGUAUAGACCCGAAACCCGGUGAUCUAGCCAUGGGCAGGUUGAAGGUUGGGUAACACUAACUGGAGGACCGAACCGACUAAUGUUGAAAAAUUAGCGGAUGACUUGUGGCUGGGGGUGAAAGGCCAAUCAAACCGGGAGAUAGCUGGUUCUCCCCGAAAGCUAUUUAGGUAGCGCCUCGUGAAUUCAUCUCCGGGGGUAGAGCACUGUUUCGGCAAGGGGGUCAUCCCGACUUACCAACCCGAUGCAAACUGCGAAUACCGGAGAAUGUUAUCACGGGAGACACACGGCGGGUGCUAACGUCCGUCGUGAAGAGGGAAACAACCCAGACCGCCAGCUAAGGUCCCAAAGUCAUGGUUAAGUGGGAAACGAUGUGGGAAGGCCCAGACAGCCAGGAUGUUGGCUUAGAAGCAGCCAUCAUUUAAAGAAAGCGUAAUAGCUCACUGGUCGAGUCGGCCUGCGCGGAAGAUGUAACGGGGCUAAACCAUGCACCGAAGCUGCGGCAGCGACACUAUGUGUUGUUGGGUAGGGGAGCG
rnacentral:rRNA from 1 species